GAUGAACGCUGGCUGUGUGCCUAAUACAUGCAUGUCGAACGAAGCACUUGUGCUUAGUGGCGAAUGGGUGAGUAACACGUACUUAAUCUACCUCUAGGUUUGGGACAACAUUUGGAAACGAAUGCUAAUACCGAAUAUUCCUUUUCCUCGCAUGGGGAAUUGGUAAAAGGUCCGUUUGGAUCGCCAAGAGAUGAGAGUGCGGUACAUUAGUUAGUUGGUAGGGUAAUGGCCUACCAAGACGAUGAUGUAUAGCGGGGUUGAGAAGCUGAACCGCCACACUGGGACUGAGAUACGGCCCAGACUCCUACGGGAGGCAGCAGUAGGGAAUAUUCCACAAUGAGCGAAAGCUUGAUGGAGCGACACAGCGUGCAGGAUGAAGGUCUUCGGAUUGUAAACUGCUGUUAUAAGGGAAGAAAAAACCGGUGUAGGAAAUGACAUCGGCUUGACGGUACCUUAUCAGAAAGCACCGGCAAACUAUGUGCCAGCCGCCGCCGUAAC
rnacentral:rRNA from 1 species